UAAAUUUUAGCUUAUUAAUAUUUCAUUGUAUUACACCAAUAAAACUGUGACCCUUUGACAUCAGCUGGUGGUGACAUUGCAUAUUUUACCAAUGAUUUCCGUAUCCCAAAGACAUGAAUAAUUUGUCCAAUGCAACUGAAUAAGUUGUCAGCCAGCACAGUCCCGCUUAGUCCAUUAAAUUGAACUGCUUUCCAUCAUGAAUGAACUGAGGACCCCAGGUUUGUGACUCAAUGAAGCAAAAGAGAUGAAGCUUUUCCUGUUUUAGCAGUGGAUUCUCAUGAUUCCAUCAUGCCUGAUGCAUCUGGAUGAGAAGUUGGGCUCACAAACUUCUCCCUCCUCAUUUCUACUGAGACGUCAGUGGUUCUCAUACUUCAGGGUGCAUAAGAAUUAGCCUCAAAGAUUGACCACCUCCAAAUAAGGUCACUUGAGUUUCUUUCACCUCAGCUCCUCCAAGGCACUGCUGCUGAUUCAUAAGCCUUGAAGGAACAAUUCUCCCUCCAGAAUGGUAAAACCAAGGCUGAGCUAAAGGAGAUGAAAAUGAAGAUUUGAGGCAAGGGUAAGAUUUGGCAGCCUCAGGGUUGGGUAAUAAUUUUGAGUAGCCCAAUGUAUCAGGUGGGGUUCUUUGGUUACAAACCAUGAAAACUGACUCUUGCUGACUUAAAGGAAAAAAUUAAAUUAUUGAAUGAAGUGAAGGAAUGACAAGUGCAGAAGGAAGGACGCAGAGCCACAUUUGAAAUAUCCAAGGGUGGAUAAACAGAGACUGGCUGCGUCCCCUUCAGGAGCCAUUUGACGCCACUCACAUCCACCCUGACACACUGGAAGGUGGCACCACACUUUCUACAUGAUCUGUCUUCUCCUGACCAUUCAGAUGUGUCCUCAGCUCUCUAAGUUCCCCAAUAUCCUACACACCUGUCACUAAUGGCUAUUAAUUACCUUUACUAAAGGAUUUGAACUGAUGUUUAAACUAAGCAAAGUAACCAUUUAUCUCAUCAAACUUCCUGAACCAUCGAAAUAGCAUUAUUGCCAUUCUUACAAAUGGAUAAAACAGCUGUUCACAGGCAAUAAGUUAUUUGUUCCAAAUAGUAUAAUGAGUAAGUGGCCACUCUAGGAUUCAAACAGAUGUCAGUUUGAUUUUAAAGCUCAUAUUUUGCAAUUUAUUGAGUUUCAGAGAGGUUGAAAUCCCUUUAUUAGAGUUUAUUCUAAUAAUGAUCACAAGCAAGCAAAAAAUUUUGAGAAUUGAAGAGAUGACCAGGACUCGUUUAUUUAUUUAGAUGAG
rnacentral:lncRNA from 1 species